GACGAACGCUGGCGGCGUGCUUAACACAUGCAAGUCGAACGAAGUGGCGAACGGGUGAGUAACACGUGAUUAACCGGCCUUACACAAGGGGAUAGCCUCUGGAAACGAAUAAUAAUACCCUAUAGUGUAAGAUGGACUUGCGUCUGAUUAGCUAGUUGGUGAGAUAAAGGCCCACCAAGGCAACGAUCAGUAGCCGGCUUGGGAGAGUGUACGGCCACAAUGGGACUGAGGUACGGCCCAGACUCUACGGGGGGCAGCAGUGGGGGAUAUUGCACAAUGGGCGAAACCCUGAUGCGGCAACGCCGGGUGCGGAAGACGGCCUUCGGGUUGUAAACCGCUUUCAGCCAUGACGCGGUAGUGGCAGAAGAAGCACCGGCUAACUACGUGCCAGCAGCCGCGGUAAUAC
rnacentral:rRNA from 1 species